rnacentral:rRNA from 1 species
UUUUGACCUCAGCUCAGUGGUGACCACCCGCUGAAUUUAACCAUAUAACCAAGCGGAGGAAAAGAAACAACAUGGAUUGCUCUAGUAACGGCGAGUGAAUGGGCAAAAGCCCAGCGCUGAUUCUGUUGGCCACUGGUCGCCUGGAAUUGCAGCGGAUAGGUGAGCCUGUCCGUUCGUUCCACGCACCCAAAGUCCCCUUGAGUGGGUCUAUAGUCCAAAGAAGGUGCUACAUCUGUACGGGUGGCGAGACGAUCGGUUGGUUGCUCCUUGGACUCGGGUUGCCUGGGAUCGCUGCCCAAAGUUGGUGGUAGACCUCAUCUAAGAUUUUGACUUCCUCGACGAGGGCAAAGCCGACGGUAACUGUUGGGCAUUUGAUCGGUGUAUUUGCGGCUGGUAUAUGCCGAGAGCUUUGCAGUCGCAUGUUGACAAUCGUGCAGUGGACCAUUCUUUCCGGGCGUGGAACCUUUCGUGCUUUGAGACAUGUCGGCUGUAAGGUUUUGGACGUGGCUUCUCCGCUAUGGUGCGUCAGGUUUUUCGAGCUGUUGUGGCUGCAGGAUGGUCGCGUCCGACUGUCUAUAGUCGUCGAUGGCGCGACAAGAGUGUGGACGCGGCGAGAAGUGCAUCUCGGUGUGAACGUCGACCACCUAUCCGACCCAUCUUGAAACACGGGUCAAGGAGCCUAGCAUAUGCGCGAGUCAUUGGGUGAUAAACCUAAAGGCGUAAUGAAAGUGAAAGUCGCCUCGACGCGACCAGUAUGGGAUCCAUGCGGUUUCUGUGGCCGCACUGCGCACCAUAGCCCCGUUCCCGUUGCUUGCAGUAAGGCGAAGGUAGAGCGCAUACGCUGGGACCCGAAAGAUGGUGAACUAUGCCUGAGCAGGAUGAAGCCAGAGGAAAUUCUGGUGGAAGUCCGAAGCGGUUCUGACGUGCAAAUCGAUCGUCUGACUUGGUUACAGUGGCGGAAGACUAAUCGAACCAUCUAGUAGCUGGUUUUCUCCGAAGUUUCCCCCAGGAUAGCUGGAGUUCGUGUGGUGCAGUUAUAUUCGGUAAGGUGGAUGAUUAGAGGAAUUGGGAACGAAACGACCUCAACCUUCUCAAACUUCCAAAGGGUAUGAAGUCCCGCUUGCUUAACGUUGCUGAAGCGUAGGCAUUGAAUGAGAGCUCCAAGUGGGCCAUUUUUGGUAAGCAGAAAUGGCGCUGUGGGAUGAACCAGACGUCGGGUUAAAGUGCCAAACUUGCCGCUCAUGAGACCCCAUGAAGGCAUUGGUUGAUAUAGACAGCAGGAAGGUGGCCAUGGAAGUCGGAACCCGCUAAGGGGUGUGUAACAGCUCACCUGCCGAAUCAACUAGCCCUGAAAAUGGAUGGCACUUGAGCGGGAGACUUAUGCCCGACCGUUGUUUGGCUUGUGUGUUUUUCGUACGAGAGAUUCGCCUGGCCGCAACGAGUAAGACGGUCGCAAUGGUCUGCGUUGAAGGCCUUGGGCGUAGGCCCGACUGGAGCUUCCACUGUGCAGAUUUUGGUGGUAGCAGCAAAUAUUUAAGUGAGAUCCUUGAAGACUGAAGUGGAGAAGAGUUCCACGUGAACAGCAGCUGAAUUUGGGUCAGUCGGCCCUAAGAAACUGGCUAAUGCCAUCUGUUAACGAGAGACGGAGUUCAAAUCCAUCUCGUCUAUCGAAAGGGAUACGGGUUAAUAUUCCCGUACCUGGACAUGGUGAUAAGCGCUCAUUGCGAGUGUUUAACGCGGCAACGCAAACGAACUCGAUAACGCUGAAUACAGCCCGAGCUAGAGUUCUCUUUUCUAGUUAAGGAACGAAUUCCCUGAAAUCGAUUCAGCCGAGAUAGGGAUGUUGUUUCCGUAAAGCGCCACGGUUCGUGUGGUGUCUCGUGCGCUCUAUUCGGCCCUUGGAAAACCGAGGGAGGCUAUUUGAAUUUCGUGCCAGGGCGUACCAAUAUCCGCAGCAGAUCUUCACGGGAACAGCCUCUGGUCGACAGAAUAAUGUAGGCAAGGGAAGUCGGCAAAUUAAAUCCGUAACUUCGGGAAAAGGAUUGGGUCUAAGGACUGGGCCGGUCGGGAUGCAGCGUGAAGUGAGCUCAGUUUGAUCCAUGCAGUGCAACGCUCGGCAACGGGUGGCGCUCGGCUAGCAUUCGAACUGUCUCGUGGACCGUUGCAACUGCGUGCCGCGUCCUCGCGGGCUUGGUGCUUCGGCCGGCACUAAACAGUCGACUUGGAACUGGCACGGACUCGGGGAAUCCGACUGUCUAAUUAAAAUAGAGGAGACAGAUGGCCGUUGCGGGCGUUGACUGUCUCUAAUUUCUGCCCAGUGCUCUGAAUUUAAAGUGAAGGAAUCCAACCAAGCGCGGGUAUGGAAACUGUUCAAGACCUGCGAACAGGCUAAUAGUGUCCAUAGUGAGCAACGGCGAACCUGGAACCGUAUGCCCCAGGCAGUCGUCAGUGGCGAGUGAUUUGCGCAUUCCCGAUAGCAGUCCUCAUGUAAGGCUAGCGAGGCAGGCCAGUCGCACGCGUGCAUUUCGUCACGCCGAAAACGAGGCAACCGGAGAAUAACGUCCCCCAACCCCGAAAGGGGGGCAUAACUAUCUUCUCCAAAAGAAAAGCAGAAGCGCUUUGACACCUGUGUGUGAAAGCGCAAGCAGGGGAGGUAAAUUAUUUCGCCAAGGGUCCGGUGGACUCGUGAUGGAGAUGGGAUCACAGAGGGAUCUCCUGACUUGUAGUCAGUACCCCACAUGGGGAUUGGUCAAUCCAAUGAGCAGUGACGCGCAUGAGGGGACCGGCAAGUUUACUCACUUCUGGCUCGCCACCGGUAAGGGGACCUCGUCCAACCCCUUAUUCGGCACAGAACCAGCCUCCUCGUGGUGGUCCCUGGAAACUGUCCAGAACUUUUCUAACAGGGCCAACCUCAUCCUGGAG